rnacentral:rRNA from 1 species
AUACGGAAGGUCCGGGCGUUAUCCGGAUUUAUUGGGUUUAAAGGGAGCGCAGGCGGAGAUGCAAGCGUGACGUCAAAUUUCGGGGCUCAACCCCGUCUCGCGUCGCGAACUGCGUCCCUUGGAUGCGGGAAGGGGAGGCGGAACUCGUGGUGUAGCGGUGAAAUGCAUAGAUAUCACGAAGAACUCCGAUCGCGAAGGCAGCCUUCCGGCCCGUCAACGACGCUCAUGCUCGAAGGUGCGGGUAUCAAACAGGAUUAGAUACCCUGGUAGUCCGCACAGUAAACGACGGACACCCGCGGUUUGGCCUGUAUGGCUGAGCCGCCAAGCGAAAGCGUUAAGUGUCCCACCUGGGGAGUACGCCGGCAACGGUGAAACUCAAAUGAAUUGGCGGGG